GGGCGCAAGCGUUGUCCGGAAUUAUUGGGCGUAAAGAGCUCGUAGGCGGUUUGUUGCGUCGGCUGUGAAAUCCCGAGGCUCAACCUCGGGUCUGCAGUCGAUACGAGCAAACUAGAGUGUUGCAGGGGAGACUGGAAUUCCUGGUGCAGCGGUGAAAUGCGCAGAUAUCAGGAGGAACACCGGUGGCGAAGGCGGGUCUCUGGGCAACAACUGACGCUGAGGAGCGAAAGCGUGGGGAGCGAACAGG
rnacentral:rRNA from 1 species